GAGUUUGAUCCUGGCUCAGAGCGAACGCUGGCGGCAGGCUUAACACAUGCAAGUCGAGCGGGCGUAGCAAUACGUCAGCGGCAGACGGGUGAGUAACGCGUGGGAACGUACCUUUUGGUUCGGAACAACACAGGGAAACUUGUGCUAAUACCGGAUAAGCCCUUACGGGGAAAGAUUUAUCGCCGAAAGAUCGGCCCGCGUCUGAUUAGCUAGUUGGUAGGGUAAUGGCCUACCAAGGCGACGAUCAGUAGCUGGUCUGAGAGGAUGAUCAGCCACAUUGGGACUGAGACACGGCCCAAACUCCUACGGGAGGCAGCAGUGGGGAAUAUUGGACAAUGGGCGCAAGCCUGAUCCAGCCAUGCCGCGUGAGUGAUGAAGGCCCUAGGGUUGUAAAGCUCUUUUGUGCGGGAAGAUAAUGACGGUACCGCAAGAAUAAGCCCCGGCUAACUUCGUGCCAGCAGCCGCGGUAAUACGAAGGGGGCUAGCGUUGCUCGGAAUCACUGGGCGUAAAGGGUGCGUAGGCGGGUCUUUAAGUCAGGGGUGAAAUCCUGGAGCUCAACUCCAGAACUGCCUUUGAUACUGAGGAUCUUGAGUUCGGGAGAGGUGAGUGGAACUGCGAGUGUAGAGGUGAAAUUCGUAGAUAUUCGCAAGAACACCAGUGGCGAAGGCGGCUCACUGGCCCGAUACUGACGCUGAGGCACGAAAGCGUGGGGAGCAAACAGGAUUAGAUACCCUGGUAGUCCACGCCGUAAACGAUGAAUGCCAGCCGUUAGUGGGUUUACUCACUAGUGGCGCAGCUAACGCUUUAAGCAUUCCGCCUGGGGAGUACGGUCGCAAGAUUAAAACUCAAGGAAUUGACGGGGGCCCGCACAAGCGGUGGAGCAUGUGGUUUAAUUCGACGCAACGCGCAGAACCUUACCAGCCCUUGACAUGUCUGGGACCGGUCGCAGAG
rnacentral:rRNA from 1 species